rnacentral:rRNA from 1 species
UCCCAGCGGUCCAAGUCGCAGCCACAUUUGUUGGGUCUAAAACAUCCGUAGCUUGCUUUUCAAGUCUUUUGUGAAAUCGGGACUCUUAAGGUUCCGGCGUGCAAAAGAUACUGUUAAGCUAGAGACCGGGAGGCGUAAGAAGUACGUAUAGGGUAGCGGUAAAAUGCGUUGAUCCUAUGUGGACUCACAGUCGCGAAGGCGUCUUACGAGAACGGUUCUGACAGUGAGGGAUGAAGGCUAGGGGCGCAAA